rnacentral:lncRNA from 1 species
UCCAUAUACCCAGACACACGACAUCUCUCUGCUUUGCCUUAUCCGUAAUCACACACACUUCUCAAUCCAUCAAUUCAAGAGAAUUACCUUCUCCAAAAGAAUUCCUCCAGGAAGCGCAACCAAACUAACGAACAUCCCUUUUGCUCACCAUUUUUACACACCAGGCUCAUCACGCCAACCAUCCGGCCACAUACGAACACCCUUCCACUACCUUCAUCCCCAUAGAAUGUCCAUCAUCAACACCUAAUUUCAGCUUUUUUUUUAUGACUCGAAGCCCCUCUGUCACCACUACCUCAUGACCCAUCCUAACCACCUCAACCACCUGGAUUGACUCACCACACUCUCCGAAUCCAAUUCCAAAACACACAACAACAGAAUCCCAUUCUUACCUCCAACCCCAACUUCAUCCUUCAAGAACGAACACCACGAAAAACAGAGACAACCAAAUCAAUCUCCAUCCUCAUCACGCCAAUUUCCUCAUCACCGAUGCUACUUCCAUUGCCGCCGUAGCAGCAACCCUAUGUCAUGAUGUUGCCUAAACCCCAGGUACCUCUGCCCAUAAUCCUCCUCUCUAUUCGGUACAGCACCUGAAGGAAACACAGAAAUUCAAAACCAAGGCAAAACUGAGAAACAGAGGAAGAAGAGAGGGUUUGGUGCGGUUGACUCGACGUUGCCNGCGACGUUGUCGACUNAGUAGCGUACGGUGACACGGUGACGGCUGCGACGAUUACCUUGGCGGCGACNCGACUUCGAUAGAAGCAGUAGNGACUNCGACGCGAGGAGGAGCUCUAGUGGUGACCGGCAUCGUCGCCGGCGGACUUGGUAACAAACGGCACGAUGGAGAUGAAGGGAGCUCAACGGGGAGCGACGGUCAUUUGUUUGGUGGUAUCAGCGACGAGGAACGACCAGCGCCGUCCACGGCGAGAGGGUUUCUCUCGCNUGAAGAGAAAAAGGCGAAGGAGAGUCUAGUGCCAUGGCCGGCGAUGGCUCCGACGAUGGGUGUCAACGCCGUGGGCUAUAGACGGUGGUGGCCGGUCGGGGAAAGCUUGGUUCUGGCUGUGAGCGGCGAAGGUGAAAUCCCUAGUUUCUUUCGCUCANAGAAGAAGGUGCCCCUAAGUGUUUACACAAAUGAGAGCAAAUUGUAGAAACCCCUAAUGAGCUUCUGUUANGNUUAUGAGGCUUUGGGCCUGGUGUGGGCUGCCUCUUCUAUUCUCUGCAUCUCCAUUUCCUAUCCGCAACCCCUUUCAUGUGGGCUGAGGUCCAUUAUGUUUCUGCCAAUAAAAGAAAAGAAGGAUCGGGCCUGGGCUGUCUCUUUGCUUCCCGCCACCACGUGCAACUCCAUCUGCACCCCCCAUUCCAUUUCUGCAUACAUACAAAAAUGAAAAAAAAGCCAGGGCCAGGCCUACCAAAUGCACCCCAAUUUUCAUAUGUUANN